rnacentral:rRNA from 1 species
GACGAACGCUGGCGGCGUGCUUAACACAUGCAAGUCGAACGGACAGGCGCUGCGUUUGUGGGGUGCUCGAGUGGCGAACGGGUGAGUAACACGUGAGUAACCUGCCCUUGACUUUGGGAUAACUUCAGGAAACUGGGGCUAAUACCGGAUAGGAGCUCCUGCUGCAUGGUGGUGGUUGGAAAGUUUCGGCGGUUGGGGAUGGACUCGCGGCUUAUCAGCUUGUUGGUGUGGUAGUUGCUUACCAGGGCUUUGACGGCUAGCCGGCCUGAGAGGGUGAACGGGCACAAGGGGACUGCGAGAGGGCCCAGACUCCAACGGGAGGCAGCAGUGGGGAGUAUGGCACAAUGGGCGGAAGUCUGAGAUAGCAGCGUCGCGUGCGUGAUGACGGCCUUCGGGUGAUAAACAGCUGUCGACUGUGACGAAGCGGGAGUGACGGUAAUGGGUAAAGAAGCACCGGCUAACUACGUG